rnacentral:rRNA from 1 species
AGCCGCCGCGGGAACACCGGCGGCCCGAGUGGUGAUCGUGAUUAUUGGGUCUAAAGGGUCCGUAGCCGGUUUGGUCAGUCCUCCGGGAAAUCUGAUAGCUCAACUAUUAGGCUUUCGGGGGAUACUGCCAGACUUGGAACCGGGAGAGGUAAGAGGUACUACAGGGGUAGGAGUGAAAUCUUGUAAUCCCUGUGGGACCACCUGUGGCGAAGGCGUCUUACCAGAACGGGUUCGACGGUGAGGGACGAAAGCUGGGGGCACGAACCGGAUUAGAUACCCGGGUAGUCCCAGCCGUAAACGAUGCUCGCUAGGUGUCAGGCAUGGCGCGACCGUGUCUGGUGCCGCAGGGAAGCCGUGAAGCGAGCCACCUGGGGAGUACGGCCGCAAGGCUGAAACUUAAAGGAAUUGGCGGGGGAGCACAACAACGGGUGGAAGCCUGCGGUUUAAUUGGACUCAACGCCGGACAACUCACCGGGGGCGACAGCAAUAUGUAGGCCAAGCUGAAGACUUUGCCUGAAUCGCUGAGGGGAGGUGCAUGG